rnacentral:rRNA from 1 species
CAACGCCGCGUGAGGGAUGAAGGCCUUCGGGUCGUAAACCUCUUUUCUCAGGGAAGAUAAUGACGGUACCUGAGGAAGAAGCCACGGCUAACUACGUGC